CUUUAUUUUAAAUGUUAUAUUUUGUCCUUACAUAUGGUUGAAAUGGAAGAACACUGUUACAAGCAAAACUUUUUUCUCAAAAGAGGCAUUGACUGUGUAUCACAGACUAUUUCUCUAGCUGAAAACAGACUUACCCUUUGACAGAAGGUGGUCGUGCUAAAUUUUCCUCCCGUGGAGCUCAUGUAUGUCCUUCUGGCUUGCUUUUCCCAUAGUCCAUAAGUUCUGUUGAUGGUAAUAAACUCACACAGGCUCUGAAUCAACAGGCUUAGAAAAAUACACGCUACCGCUGCCCUACACUCGCUGUCAGUGCAGUCCAGUCAUGUGCCAGAGGAGGUGUGUGGCUGUUAUCCACGAAUCUCAGUUAAAUCUCCCACACUGCUCAAGUGACUGGAUUCCCACGGGGCGAUCCUGCCUUCCUUUAUCCCCAUGUGGUCCAUUCAAUGCGCUGUCUGGGUGUGUUCUCCUCGGUGAUGUUACUGUGCCUCUCCUUCCUUUCAUUGCGCUUUCAGCAGGUGUUGGUAGCUACUGAACACUGAUGCUCUUCCUUCUGCUCCAUCUCAACACUGACCUCCCUGCCUCUUUUUCUGCCCCAUUGUAUUCAUUUCUGCUGCGUGAGUGCCUGGUGAAGUUAUUUUCCUAGCCACAAUUAUUAGACUUGCACAAAACUUCUUUAUUCCUUUCACUACAUCGUGUUUACAUUGCAAGCUAUGCUAACAAUGAAUAAAAUGAAAAAGUUAACAAAACUGAUAAAGUCAUCAUUUGCUUCUACUCUAUUGUAAUAGCCAUGAUGUAAUUGGCGCUGUUUCAUAUAAAAUUACCAUAUAAAUUGUGCCAUCCAAAUCUGCAACAGAAACAGCAACAGUACUUACAAUAAAUGGCAAAUCCCUGUUAAUUAUUGAUAGCCCAAUGAGCAAACCAUUAUAAUUCAUUCUUAUUAUUCAUUAUUAAUAACUCUUAUUUAGUAUUCAUUGCAUAAGGAUCAAUUAUGAUUAACUGUUCUAAAAAUGGAUGGACCACGUGAACACCUAUAUUUCAGGGUCUUUUCCAUUGAAGAAAUGCCUUUCUGUAUAAAAACACUGUGCAAUCAGCAGGACAAAGCAUGACUGUGCCUAAGCAUCCCGUCCAGUGUCCUUACCCCAGUGUCUGUAAGAUGGUGGUACAAUCUCUGUCAGAGGCACUUAGGAAUGUUUUUUUUGGAAGCCAUUACUUACCCCUAAUGCACUUAUGAAGUGAAGUGUGCUGUUAGGUGAAAACAGCGGGGUUUUUAUCUGUUACCUGUGGAUGUUCAUGAAAUGUUCUAGUCUGUAUUUGAAAUGUUUUGAUCCUUUAGGAUAAAGAGUGUACUACAGGCAUGUACAAGUGGUCUAGUUGGUCUGUGCUCUCUUUAUACCAAAUAAAAAAAUCUAGUUAAGGAUAUUUAAGGUAUAAUCCAUGUCAUCUUAAAGUAGGUGCCUGCUUUUUGGACAGAUGAAUAGUACCCAUGAAAUCCCCUGAAUACAUUAGCCAGAUUUCUGUUGACUGUAAUGGGAAUCCAAAAGUCUUGUUCUGAUGGAGACAGCUGUAUUUUCUAAACAUCUAAAGUGGAGCAAGAUCAGUUUACCCUUCCUAGUAAUUAUGUUCUGCUUUACUGCUCUUUUUUAAAAAAACUCAGCCUAAAGUUCACCAAAGCAUCAUCAUAAAUCAUAGUGGCUCCAAUUCUUAAGUGAGUUGGUGGAGGAGGCUGAAUUUCAGGAGCUGCAAUGGCAGUGAGUCCUUGUGUGGAUUUCCAGUGACCAUCAGGGUAGUGCAAAUGAUGUAGUCUUCUCCAGAAAUGAGAAAUGAAUUGAGACUUUGGUCGGCGAUAGCCUUCAUAUAUCCAGUCCAGUGUUUUUAGAUUGCGUUGCUGGAGUUGUGACUCUUGCCAUCAGCAGUUCAGCUGGAAAUGGUAUCGUCACUGCCAGCUGUAGGAAGAAGGGGUCUCGAAGUAUCAACAGCCAGCACCACAGGUGGUCUUUUCUUCACCAUGCUUUCUAUCUUUAUACCUCUGCUCAAGGCUGGCUAAUUGCCACUGAGUGUAGCAUUGGAGAAUACUGGUUCUGCUGGAUGAGUGGCACUUGUGGUAACAUACUGCUUGUUUCAGUUUUUAAGCUUCUGAUUGGACUUUUGCUCAGUUUUUGCUUUGUUGCUUUUUUCAGGUUCUCAGUGCGCUGGUAACUCUGCUGUUAUCCUCUUUUAGGUGCUGCUGCUGCAGUAUCCCUUGCGUACUACACUGAAAGAAAUAGCCUGGACGUGCACCUGGAAUGUGCUCAAAUGAUACCGUGCAACUUGGAAAUGCCCAGAGGCCUUUAUGAUGACACUAUUUUGAAUUAUUGGGGAAAAAAAAAAAGAUUUAAAAUAUUUGCUCUUUGAAUGAAAUGAGUAACUCCUAGAAUGACUUCAGGUGUGUAAGAAUCCAUCACUUCCCUAGCUAAUAGGAUUACGGAGGUGAUGAAUUGCCCACUGGAGGUUUUGAUAUCUCUGAAUAAAGAAGACAGCCUGCAAGCAAUACUUGCAGCCCGGGCAUUGCUAUAUACCGUGUUCUGGGCUCCACAGUAUAAAGAGGAUGUGAAGAUGCUUGACAGCAUCCGGAGGAGGGCAACAAAGCUGAAAGCACAAAAAUCUCAUGAAAGCAAAGAGAAUUGUACCUCCAAGAAACUCCUUAACAGCCACCACCACCAGAAGAUAAUGUCUGAUGAGCUUUUCUCAACCAAGAAUUUUCCUCCACCAUCUCCACGGAUGCUCCUUGCAAAACCUGAUUCUGAAGAGACGAGCAUCGGGGCAGAAUACCUGGAAGUCUGACACCAGUCUUGCAGUGUGGCAUGGAACACCGACUGCAGCAGUCAGAGACCUGACCUGUGCCUCACUUCAGGUGAAGUUCGUGUCUUGCAGCUCCAGGGCUGUUCUCACAGCUUUCCCAGAAAGAGAAUUUGACUUUUGGUAUGCACUUUCUGGAGAUGAAAGUACACUGCUGCUUAUUUUUAUCUCAGAUCAAAUGAUGAGCAAUCACAUCUGGAGCAGGAUGCAGAAGAUCUGAAUAGAAGCCCAAGUUCUGUCACAGAUGCACAACAGAUUUUGGCAUGAUAGCUCCUGAUGUAGAUAUAUUCUGGCUAACUUUCAAGCUAACCAGGUGGGAUACGUAUAGCUGGAAGUCCUUAGGUAGGAUUCCCAGUCCCCAGCCUUCUGUACUUUUAAAUCUGUGCUGCUCAUGGUAUCCAACCUUGUCAGCUCCAAAACUAGGCAGAAUGUGCCUGUAUUGACUGACACAUCAAUGUCUGCCUUGCAGAACAGCAGCCAUUCAGGCUCUGAAUCAUCCUGCUCUGUCAGGGCAUGGGGAAGGACUGGGAAGCCAGAAUCAUGGCAUCUGAAACUUCAUAUUCCUGCACUCUGGAGAGACCCUGUGGGUGAGCCCUGGGAGCCAGAGGCCUCAAAGUGCCAGAGGGCAACCAUGGCUUUUGGUGUCACCUAUGAAACUGAGGACUUGAAAUCCCUGACUUUAACCUGAAUACAGAUCUUUCCACCUUAAGCCCUUUCCUAAUGAAAUCAAUAUUCUGGUCAGCUCUACUGCUAAGAAAAACAGCUGUAGCAGGAAGGGGAACAUAUUUUGUUUUCCCAGGUCCCUGCACUGAUGUUUCUCAAAUGAAAUUUUCUCUGACGUUCAGGCAUAAAAUCUUGAAAUUAAAAUGAAAUGUAAUUGCUAAUGAAUGGAAAGUAUUACAUGCUGGCCAGCUCUAUUUGUACAUACAAAAUAUCCUAGACACCUCAAAGUUUCUUUCAUGCCAUCUCAGAUUAUUGUCCUUUAUUGUUUUACCAAGAUCUCCAAAGCCAGCUGCUUAGGGGUUUUCACUGCCCAAACUCCCACUCGUUAUUCCAUUUGACACUCGGAUCCCUUGAGCAGCACUGAAAAAUUACUAAGCCUUAAUAUCUGUGCAAGAAUUCCAAACAAUAGCUACAACGAAGGAACUGGUCCUGGCACUAAAAACCCAUGAAUAUGUAAGACAAAUUGUAUCUGGAGAGAUAACGGGCUACCAGAAUCGUCUUUCAAAAGAUAUACAAUGUAAGCUGCACACUCCUCAAUAGCUCAAGGGGCUUACAGUCAAUAAAUUUAACAGGCUCAACCUAGAAAGUCAAAGCUAAAGUACAGUAUGCAAAUACAAGCUAGAGUGGACUCUUCUUUCUACCUUAGGACAGAGUUAAUAGAGGGGAAAUGACAAAAUACAUAAAAAGGAAUGCACGGGAUUUGACAGAGCAUGUUUUUUUUCCUUUUCACUUCAAGGCAAACUACCAGACUAUUUUGGUUUACAAAUAAAUCAAACAAAGAACUUUUAUCAGUUUGCAUAAAAGUCUCAUUUUCAGCACUGGAAAGAUUAAGCUUCAGAGCCUUUUUCUGUGUGUGUAUGUGAGGGAUUACAAAGGAAGUAGUGUAAAUAAUGACCUUGCUGAAAACAGAUUAGCUUCAAUGAUUAUAUAGUAAAAUAGUAAUGUUUUCUUCACUUACAGAUUAAAAUAUCAAUUGACAGUUUCCAUAAACAAGUAAAGCUCAUGGUUAUUCAGUGUAAUAGGAUAAUGACAGUAGCAGUAUCUGACAGCCCCAUUUCUGCCUCUUGACAUUAUUUAUGGUAUUCUGAUGCUCAGUCUAGGGAGCUGGAUCUUCAGCUUUGCCAGAUGUGUUUGCUGUGGCUCAGUGUUUAUGUGACAAAAACAUUUCCUUUAGGAAUUUCCUUUAUUUUACAGUUAUGUGGUCACACUAAAUACAAAUGUAUUGGACCCAUCACAUUCUUAUGGUUAUAAUCUUUUAAAGUCAACUUUUCAAGACCUACCCCUACUGCUCACAGGUGACUAAGAGCACAUAUGGGCUGAUUUCUCACUAGCUUACCCCUCAUACUGACAUCUACACUUAGUUUAAGUUGUCGGUCAAAACUGAAGCAGCUGGACUAUUCCCACCGAGACUCUGUUUUUCUUUUUUUUCUCUCCUGUCUUUGCUGUUUCUAAAAAGUACUACAAAGGAUGGAAACAGCAUACAUGGGAUGGAUACGGUGUUGGGUGUGGCAGGCCAGGUCUCUGCUCUGACUCAAUGGGGACUCUCAGGACAGAAAAAUCCAGCUUUGAGAGGGGCAGAGCAGAAGGAGGCUCCUGUAGUCCAAGUUAGUAUUUUAAUACAGAAAGCAACAGGCAAAUAUUCCUUCUCUUUGUGAGCAGGUCAGUGUUUAUGAGCACAAACUCAUCACAGGAGCCUUGGCUUGCAGUACCUGGGUUCUUCAAACAAAGCAAAGUGCAGUCUUGUCUAGCAUAUGUCCUGGCAGAGAAACCAGGGCUUUAAAGCAGCCUAUAAAAAUUAUGGUACACUAGCAAAAUUGGUUAAUGUUUAAUUAUGUUCAAUGGAGAAAGACUUAAAAGCCUGAAAUUCUGACUUCCUAAAUUGUCAAUCAUCUAAAAGACGCAGUAAGUUUUUUCUCGAACAGUAUCUUCUAUAAAAUUUAUUAAGCUGUAUGACACUGAGCCUGGGUUUCUACUUUAACUUCAUGCCAAUGGAAAGGAAGAUAAGCAGACAGGAAAAGGGUAUUGUGCUAUAGACUUGAGGUGCUGGAUUUUUUUUUUUCUUUUAAAUUCUAUCACAAAACUUGUUUAGGCAGAUCUCUGAAAAGUGCUCCCCUGAACUGGUCAAUGCAUCUUCAAAAAGGCUGUUAACCCUAACCGUGGGUAUUUGUACUCAUGGUAUGCCAUUUCUUAGCCUGUGUCUCUACAACAGUUUGUGAGUGCUGCGUAAUGGGGCUGUAGGCAAACACUGUGUAAAGCAGUCACAUCCAGCAAUGGUAGCAGUCUGUCUUCAGAAGCACAGAGCACAGUUCAAGCUACAAAAUCCAUUCAGAAUGUCGAAAAAAAUCAAGGAGAUUAACUUAUGCUGCACUCAGUGCUGCUCUAGUUGGUUUAAAACCUUAGCCAUAUUUACACUGAAGGGUCAAAAUGGUAGAAACAAACAAAACAAAUGAGCCUCAGCACCUGUUGUACAUGCAAGUAAUUGGAAAAAAAAAGGCUUAAAAAACAGGCUGCCAACCUUUGAUCUAUGGAGAAGGUGUCUGGACAUCACACAAGAUAUGACAGAGGAGCUCUCAAUGUAGAAGGGCAAUAGUAAGAAGCCACCCAGGGAAAGCAACAGACUAAUCUCAGAGUCCAGUGUAAGCAGAAAUCUUCUAACAGACAAAAUCAAUCCCUUCCAUGUUUUCUUUGUAGCUAAGUUGAGGAAACUAUCUCACGUAGAGAGUGAAAAAUGCACAUCCAGUGUAAUAAAUCUGCAUCCACAUAUGUCUAGCAAUUCACUUUUUCUUAUAAUUACCUUUUCUCUGUUAGUUCCUCUUGUUUCUUCAGCAGUCAUCCCAUGGAUACUUUCACGAAGAUGAUCUUGAGAAUAGAGAAUGCGCUGUCUUGUAAAGAGAAGAGAAAAUAAAAGGUUUUUGAGGGUUCUAUUCACCAUAACACGCCCAAGGGACUUCACUUACCAUCUAACUGUGCUGAUGGUAGCAGGAAAAGGCAACAGACAAAUGUAAAUCGACAAACUAGAACGCUGUUGUGCUUUCAGACUGCAUUAAAAAAGUGAAAGUCUAAAUGUUUUUGCUUUUCUUUACUGUUGCUUAGAAGUCUUUGAGGAAAGACUGAUGUUCCUUUUCCUUUACUUUUCCCAAAGUUUUAUUUUCCAGGUGUUGGGCCUGCAAAGAGCUGCUUUUAAAACUCUGGCGACAAUUUUACAUUCUGAAAGGAAUUCAAACAUUUUCACUUGCUCCAAAAUAUAUCAACUUAUAUAGCUUAUAUAACAAAUAUAGCUUAACAUUAAAAAAUACGGUGCCAUUACAUUUAUAAAACCCAAACCUUAAAUUCUUCAGUAUAAACUCCUUUACUUGUCAACUCUAUUUCAAUACAGAAAAAUAAUUUUAAAUACGAUCACUAUAAUAUCCUUAUGACAUACUUUUUUAUGAAGGUAUAGGAAAGGAGUCAGCAGUAUUCUGAAUACUAACUGAACAUAGCUUAUGACUAUGGCUAGCCAGACAGUAUUUGAAGUAGAUGGGAUCUGUUUCUGCUUUGUCUGGUCUUUGCCCAUAUCUAACCUAUAAAAAAGGCAAUUACUGAAGCAAAUGAUGAAGUUAGUAUUCAAUAAGAUAGUAAACUACUCAGUCAAAUGGUAUCAUACAGGUAAGAAAGGUCAAAUAGAAUUGAAACAGCAUAUUUAAGAAGAGGUAGGAAGCAUCAGCCCUAUCUACAAACAAUCAGCGAAGGGUAGGAUUUUCAACAGCCCCACUGAAGUUGAAGGGAAUCUCCCACUGACUCAAGCCAGGCAAACUUUAACUUUUAACUUUUUGGAAAACUUUAACCAAUCUAAUUUCAAAGGUCAUGUGCUUGUUGUUCAAAAUUAUGUGACUGUAAAUAACUUUUGUUACAGCAAAUGCUUAUCUGAUUUUAUAUUGCAUAACAAAAGGAUACAAUCUCACUCUGUAAGAUGCUCUAAACAGCGAAUUAUUUGUGAAGCAGUUCUAUCAUUACCUUAGUUGCCACUUGCUGUUCUCGAGUCCACAUUUUGUUUGUGUCACUGGUUCUAUUAAACUGCAGUGUUUCUUUUUUCUAAUUGUUUUUUGUUUUUCUGAAAUAAAUAUAAAUGUAAAGUUAGUGGUUAAAGCUUGUCUUACCUUUUCUUCUGAACAGUCAGGGUCUUUACCUCAGUCUCUGUAAACAAUACUUUGGAGCAUUCACUCAGUUGUGGUGGCCAGACCAGCAGUAACCAAUCACUAACUAAAACUACAACAGUGCUGACAUAUAGCUGUUGCGCUGUUGCCCCCAUGCCCACCAUGGACACAACACCCUGCCCAGACCUUCAGUCCUGAGCAAGCAGCAGUGGUUGAACCAAAAUACCACGCGGCCACUCUUGCGCAGAGUGCCUAGGACAAGCAUCUCAAUUUCCUUGAGCCCAGAGGUCUUCAGCACAAUGACAUGGUAACAGCUUUACGAGCAAACACUAUCUCACAAGUGAUGGGAUAUAAACCUGUUUUCAGAGAGCUGCUUGCAGUGCCAUAAGUCUGUGUCAUCGUCCCUUCCAUCAUACUCAUGCACGCUGAAAGGGCCACGAGAUUCAUUCAAAUCUUGGAGGCUUCUCUUAUCGAGUAACAAUAAAUGAAGCUCUGCAGGUCAAAUCUUGAUUAUAAAUUGCAUCCAAGUACCUGCUAAAUUGUAAAACUCUUGGGAAAGCUGAAAAUCACCAUUAUCAUUAAAUGCCACCCCUAAAAACGCAUAAGAAACAUUGUCGCUUGUUCUAGGGUGGAAGUUACUGUGAUGGAGACAUUACCAUUACCAAGUAUUUUUUACAUCAUCUAAAAGUAUGUAUUUAGCUUAAUUGUGGUAAAACUAGAUAGUAUUCUGUUGAUUUCAUAAUUACCACAAAAACUGCAAAAUAAAAUACAUGUUUUGGGGGAGACUGAGAAUUUGAUGUAGUUUAUAAUCAACAACAUUGUUCACAAUGACAGAUCUGAGUAUACAGAAAUUAUUUCACGUCACAGCACUGGUGCUAACACUUGCUUUUCCACUUGCUUUUCAUUACCAUUGCAAAGUAGUUUUCAUAGACAGUGCUUAUUUUAGUCAUGGCAGAAACUAAUGAAUUUUUCAGACUUGUGUCUGGGUUUUAUUAUACUCCUAUACAAUCUUUUAUUAUACUCCUACAAAAUCUGGUUUUUAUGUAUUGUACUAUCAAAGAGUGGGCUGAGGAUGCCCUUACUUCCCUUUGAAUCUUUUUUACAACUUUAUAAUUCAGAAAUUUAAACUUCUCUUUACCCGUUAUGAACU
ensembl:lncRNA